AGUGAACGCUGGCGGUAGGCCUAACACAUGCAAGUCGAACGGCAGCACAGUAAGAGCUUGCUCUUACGGGUGGCGAGUGGCGGACGGGUGAGGAAUACAUCGGAAUCUACUUUUUCGUGGGGGAUAACGUAGGGAAACUUACGCUAAUACCGCAUACGACCUACGGGUGAAAGCAGGGGAUCUUCGGACCUUGCGCGAUUGAAUGAGCCGAUGUCGGAUUAGCUAGUUGGCGGGGUAAAGGCCCACCAAGGCGACGAUCCGUAGCUGGUCUGAGAGGAUGAUCAGCCACACUGGAGCUGAGACCCGGUCCAGCCUCCUACGGGAGGCAGCAGUGGGGAAUAUUGGACAAUGGGCGCAAGCCUGAUCCAGCCAUACCGCGUGGGUGAAGAAGGCCUUCGGGUUGUAAAGCCCUUUGUUGGGAAAGAAAAGCAGCAGGUUAAUACCCCGCUGUUCUGACGGUACCCAAAGAAUAAGCACCGGCUAACUUCGUG
rnacentral:rRNA from 1 species